UCGGCUCAGAUUGAACGCUGGCGGCAGGCCUAACACAUGCAAGUCGAACGGUAGCACAGAGAGCUUGCUCUCGGGUGACGAGUGGCGGACGGGUGAGUAAUGUCUGGGAAACUGCCCGAUGGAGGGGGAUAACUACUGGAAACGGUAGCUAAUACCGCAUAACGUCGCAAGACCAAAGUGGGGGACCUUCGGGCCUCACACCAUCGGAUGUGCCCAGAUGGGAUUAGCUAGUAGGUGGGGUAAUGGCUCACCUAGGCGACGAUCCCUAGCUGGUCUGAGAGGAUGACCAGCCACACUGGAACUGAGACACGGUCCAGACUCCUACGGGAGGCAGCAGUGGGGAAUAUUGCACAAUGGGCGCAAGCCUGAUGCAGCCAUGCCGCGUGUAUGAAGAAGGCCUUCGGGUUGGGAAGUACUUUCAGCGGGGAGGAAGGCGGUG
rnacentral:rRNA from 1 species